AGAAUGCAUCAGAUCCUUUCUAUGCUGGGGAACCUUUUCUCUCCCACAUCGUAUAACGUUGUCUUAAACCUCUUAUGGUCUAGGACACUUUCAAUUCUUCAUCUUCAAGGUCACAAGCCAAAUCUGACACUUUCAUUUGGCCAAGCAGGAGAACUACUUUCCUCUGCAUGUGGCUGCCCUUUGAGCACCACCUCUUAGUUUCAAUCUACUCAACGGCAGAUUCUCACCAGUCUGGAAAUUGGCUGGAGCUCUGCUGCUAUUCUCAGCUGGGAGCAAUCCGUGAAGAUCCUCAAGCCAGAGACCCAGCCCACCGCCCUCGUGAACUGCCAGCUUCAAUCAAAUUCGGAGAACACCGUCCCCAGCCAAACAGCUCAAGGGCCUGGUAUGGUACCCAUCACAUGCUAACUGGUAACAAAUGUUUAUAGAAAGACUGGAUUGAAUGAAGAAAUGAGAAAGAGUCACACAGUUAUUGUCAAGUCUCAAGCUUUGAGAGCAAUGCAUAUAAUUUUGGAGAGCUUAGGCUAUGAGUUACAUAGAAAAACAAAAGGAAAAUAGCUCAAGAGGAGUGUCAACAAAUACGAUUGAAAGGUACUCAAAUGUUUUAAGUAAGAAUUUAAAGAGUGUCCAAGGAUCAGCAUGGAGGAUACAGCCCUGGGUGAAGUAGCGCUGCUCUAGAUCAGAGCUUUCCUGGACAUCUGGUGGGGGUGCCUGUUCUGAGCUCCACAGUAAGCCUGAGCAUCUUUAUUUCCAAGAGGCUCCUGGGUGAUACCAAUGCCGGUCAGGAGCACACUUGGAGUCGCAAGCCUCUAGGGCAGUGCCAACUGAGAGAAAUCAGACAGAAAAAUCAGUUGGAAAGUAUUUCGUCUCCGUGGUGUCUUCCAGACCUGAGGAGAGCACUGGGGGCAGACCGGACGAUGCUGUGGUGCCCUGGGGAAGGAACUGGACCGCAUUAGAGAAUAAGACCUGUCACUUGCCUGGAUUUCAAGGAUAUUGUCAAGAAGAAGAAUGUUAGCCAUGGCCUUUGCAUCUACUUGGAAGAGAUCUUGAACUUGAAAUGAAUUAUCAAAAUCCAUGGACUACCUGCUGGCUGGAUUAAGGCCAUUUCCUGGUUCCCCCCAAGACAGCGAAUUCCUGCUUCUGUGGGUCUCAGUUCAUCAGGAAGAAAGGAACCCUAACACACGAGGGUGUUGGAGGAGGGAAGUGAACUGGAAUGUCCAUCCUUGGGAAUCGAAUUCUUAUAAAUACCUUGUGUUUUAUCAAAAUCUUCUCUAUGAUCUGGGACUUGAUGCUUAACUCCUUUGGGCUUCUUUUCUUCAAUUUAUAUAUGAAGAAAAGAAACCAGUGCUCUCUCCUUCACAGGUUUAAGUGAUUAAAUGAGGUAACAAAUGUUAAGUUACUCUAUAGUCAAAAAUCAAUACAAAUUGUCAUAGUAGGGUUGCUAUUCUUUCUGUUGGGUCUACAGUAAUGGUGGUGAAUAAGCCUGUGAAAUUUGGGAAGUGACAGUAAUAGCUUUACAGGUAAGGAUUCCCCAGGGUGGCUAUGAUAGAAGGAACCACUAAAAGGAUGUUCAAAUAAACCCGGAUGUGAAUAUAAAACCUUUCACUUUGCCUUCUUAAAAUAGAAAAUAUUAAUAUGUUACAUGGCUCUAGAUGGCUUUAGGUGUGUACAGUGAUUUUCUAAAAUUAAGUGUAUCAUCUCUUUUUCUCCUAGUUCUCAUGGAUGAGUGAUUUUCUGUUCAGUGGUUCUAUCUCAUUUAUUUGGGAGUGAUGUUUCUGACAUUCCUUUAGGAUUUUUUUUCCCCUCCCAUUCAGAAUCUGUCCAUUUCAUCACAGGGUCUUCAAUAUCUGUGACAUAGUCAAGAAAGUCCUGGAUUUGGUGUCAGAAUUGCUGCAUUCAGGGCUGCUGUCUGUGGCUCGCACAGGUUCACACACUUUGAGAGAUUGGAAUGAAAGAGCACAAUGAAUUUCAAAGUGCCAUAGAUAUUUAACGUUUUUUAAAUCUUCAAUAUUAUAUGCCAGAUCCUACCUACAUUAGCUACUUCUGGAUAGAAAUCAGACAGUUUGGAAUGUUCAUUAAGUAUUUUAGCAUGUCAUUUAGAGCCUAAUUUUAAACUGUAGUAAAUGUUCUAAGAUAGUAUGCAUGGUAGACCAGAUAUAAUCUAUUUAAACUUUAAAAAAUAAAGAAAGAAAAAUGUGAUGGGACUGCUACAUAGUUACACGUUAGUAAAAAGAAAGUGUUCUAAUUGCCACCCAUGAAUAUUUUGUGAAUAUCCUCUAUGUGGUACACUAGCCUAGGUAUUGAGGAUAUAAAGAAGUAAGAGAUCCACACUUAUCUUUUGAAAAGGUAGAUCAUUGCCAAGCAUAGAAAGAGAAGGGAGUAGAGAAUUCCAGACAUGGAUAAAAGUGUAGUAGUGGGAGUGUAUAUGCACUGCUCAGAUCACAUGGAGUAAAACGGUAGGUUAGGGAAUAACAGGAACUAAACCAAUGAGUAUUGUCUGGGAGAUUGUGAAGGGUCUAGAAGGCCAUUGUGUACUAAUGUGGUGGAAUGAAUAAUCACCUGUGACAAUCCUUUGAGUAAAAUUUAAAGUAUAAGUGGCCUAGCCAUUAUAAUUUGGCUGACAAGUUAUUUAGCUGAAUUUUUAUGAUUCUGAAAAGUUAUUUCUCUUUAACAAUGGCCUAGCAGGUUCACAAUAAAUUUUCCAUUGCUUUUCAAGAGAAGUCUGAUAGUAUUGCAAAUAAAUACUUCUAAAUAUUAAAAGAAAGCAAUUUUUUUGGCGAUAUUUUUUCUUAAUUUCUAAACCCAUGAAAUCUUUGUAUUGCAGAGGAGUUUGGGGGCAAACUUUGUUGUUUAUACGUAUUUACCCAGAAUCUACACAUCCACAAAAUUUCUCAAGUUUCUGACAGCAGAAAAAUAAAAUGAACAACUUAAUACAGAGAAUCGUAAUUGGAACAGAUUCAAUGAAGAGUAUGUGGAGAAUGAAGAAGUGGAGAAUCUAUUUAAAACUGACAGCUCAUCAGAUGUAGUCUAGUCAAUGGUUAUAUUUGUGUAAGCUUGAAAGCCAAAUAAACAUGUCUGAAAUCUCAUUGGUAAAACACUUUAUGAUUUUUUAAAAAAAUUUUUGGUUUGGCAAAAGCUCCUUUCUAGGUUCACUGUAUCCCACCAAUAGAAGGGCUGACUCCUAAGGAAAUUCAAAAUACAUCCAUGAAAAUGGAAAAUUAUAGGGUGCCAAGUGUAACAUGGUGCAUGCCCGCAGAGACGUUAUAGCCAGAGGGAAGGAAAUUCCAGCCAAUGCCUCUGUCUCUUUCCAGCCAUUUGAAAUUCCUACCUUGACCAAUAAAUGGUCCAGGAGUCAAUGGAAGUGGAGAGAGUGCAUCUCCUAAUAAAAAAAAUUAAACAUUGACAACAGAAGGCUUCUUCUUUCACAGGCAAACAUGAUUUUGAAGUUUUCCUUCCUACUGAAAAGAAUUCCCAAAUUUACAAAUAAAAAUGCUUUGAUUCAUAAAUUAACCCAGACAUUUUCAUGUUCUAUAGGCCUGACAUAUACCUGACAGAAACCUCACAGGGUCAGAAAGUCAUGUUACCCACCCCCACUGCUCAGCUCCUGGAGGUGGAGAAGGAAUUUCUCUUCUGCACGCCUGUUUGUUCAAGUCUGAGAGAAAGGGUAAUGUUAUAGUCUGUGAUGGACUUAACACGAGGCAUUUAAGUCAGAGCCCAUAAGUUUAGGCUUUCUUUUCCCCUUUAGAAUUUAUUGGGAAAGGAUGACUUACAAUUAUUUGUUAUUUAUUUUGGGAGAGACAAUUAUAUUAUUUUUCGGAAGCUCCUGAGCUUAAUAAAAACAAUAAAGGAUUCAUAAACUACGGAUAAACGUGGUUCAGAAGCAUAAGUUUUUUAACCACCUGCUCCUUACUUCAUUUGACAAUAUUAAGGGGCAGCGCUUCUGAUGUUUCCAUAGCAAUUGGAGUAGUGGGCAGGAGAGCUAUAAUUAAGGAGGAGUAAUGCACUGGGAUUGGACUGAGAUUUUAUAUUAAGAGCAGCAUUCUGUUUCGUUCUAAUUAGUGUAACUUAUUCCUUCCACAAACAUAUAUUGAACAUCUUUUGAAAACAAGGCUCUCUUUGCCUGCAUUAAGAUCUCGAGAUAUAAAAGGAAAGUCCGAAUAUGAGUUACACCAAAAUUCAUUUUGAAAUAACAUGUCAAGAAGAAAACCAAAAUUAAGCAAAACAGAGAAUUCUUGGUUUGAACAGGCAUAGAUCCUCGAAAUUCUGUGAACACCCUACCUGGAAGCUUCCCUAUAGAUUGUCCACUCCAGUGGCCUCCCUUUAAAGACAAGAACUUGAAGCCCAGAGAGGUGAGGCUAGUACUGUUAGACAGUUGCAGAACCAGUAACAGACCCAUUUCACUAGAUUUCUGGUACAGUUACACUUUUUUAGUAUGACACGAUCACUUUCAACAACAAACAACAAAACCCAAACUGCUUAAUACAUUUAAAUCCAAGGCAAAUCUUCAGAUCUUCCUGUGUGCUCGGGGUGGAGGGACUUGAGGAAGCAGAUGAAGAUGGUGGACAUUUGACAUUCCUGUGUGUACUGAGUGCUGAGCGCUAUGCUAGGCACCUCCACUCUUGAUCUCCUUACGUCUCUGUAACAACUCUGUGAGCUCAGUGCUAUCAUCUCCAUUUUCCAGAAGAAGAACGUGGGACCAAGAGAAACAAAGAAGUGUACCCAGAAACACACAUUUUGUGAGUGUUGGACUUAGAAUCUCAACUUCUUUCUGCCUCUAAAUUCUUUGCUCUUUUCACUGUACCUUAAUUAUUGCCUGUUAGAGGAUAUUGUGCAUUUCUUCAUAAAUGAGUCCAAUUUUUGCCUACCACCUGGUUCUUAUGACUGUCCAGAUUGAUUUUUCUUUUAAGUUUAUAUUUUGCAACUGUGGGCUUUUUUCCUUUCCAUUUAUCUCUUGUCUCAGUCCUGAGGUUGGAAAAAAUGAGAAAUAUGCUGGCUUUGUUUGGAUUGAGAACAUUCCAAAAUAUUUGGCUGCACCUCAAAACUCUGUUAAAAUAAUAUUAUUUAUAACUUUCUGCUUGGUCAAUUUUAUUUUAGGUUUGGCUAUUUCCACAGGAGGCUGUUCUUUCUCCUUGAUGGUAGGGUUUGCUGCUUGAAAGUCUUAAUCACAAAACAUUUUCCAAGUAAGACUCAGGACCUUGCCUUUGGGAUGAAUGGAAACUUGUUAGACAAUAGCCCCCGACCAGUUCAAGCAGUUAAUUGCAGGAUCUCACGCUCAGGAGCUGUAGGGUGAAGUGGUGGCAGGGAGAAAGCCAUCUGUUUACACGGGAGCCCUCGACCCUAGUCCCAAAGCUAAUCACGUGACCCGUCCAGCCCCAUGAUAGGCUGCAUUUUAGAGCUGGGCUUUGGUGAGGCAUGCUGUUUCCCAGAAUGCUUUUCUGAGGAGUGCAGAGUUAAUUUCUUCUCCAUUUCUCCUCAGUAAGGCUAUUAUUGUUAGCAGAUCUGUUUAGCCGCCUUAGUGGCUUGGGACCUUUCAUUGACUUUUGAGCAGAUGAUUUGAUUUUCAGGCAGAGAUGAGGGAAAAGGCAGCUAGUAGAAUCAUUGCAAUGGAACACUCACAGCAAAUAGCAGGGAGACGGGCUUUUGGCAGGGCAUACCUGAAAGAGAAGACCUGUCUUGGCCUCCAUGCAUAAUUGAACACUGUUUACAAUUAGUGGCAAAGCAAUGUGAAUCACAGAGGCCGAGGAUAUGUCAUCUAGAGAUUUAAAUGAAUACGGUUUCUCUGAAAGACCAUUCCCUUUCAGACAAAAAUGAUGGUCAAUGAAGUGGCAAUUCACAAUGAAAUAACAGUGCUUCGCUCCCAAGAGCAGCUUACCUACAGGAAACAGGGGCAAAAGACAGAGAA